rnacentral:rRNA from 1 species
AUUGAACGCUGGCGGCAUGCCUUACACAUGCAAGUCGAACGGUAACGCGGGGCAACCUGGCGACGAGUGGCGAACGGGUAAGUAAUGUAUCGGAACGUGCCCAGUUGUGGGGGAUAACUGCUCGAAAGAGCAGCUAAUACCGCAUACGACCUGAGGGUGAAAGCGGGGGAUCGCGAGACCCCGCGCAAUUGGAGCGGCCGAUAUCAGAUUAGGUAGUUGGUGGGGUAAAGGCCCACCAAGCCAACGAUCUGUAGCUGGUCUGAGAGGACGACCAGCCACACUGGGACUGAGACACGGCCCAGACUCCUACGGGAGGCAGCAGUGGGGAAUUUUGGACAAUGGACGCAAGUCUGAUCCAGCCAUGCCGCGUGCGGGAAGAAGGCCUUCGGGUUGUAAACCGCUUUUGUCAGGGAAGAAACGCUCUGGGUUAAUACCUCGGGGUAAUGACGGUACCUGAAGAAUAAGCACCGGCUAACUACGUGCCAGCCGCCGCCGUAAAAC